CCUACCGAUUGAAUGACUCGGUGAGAAAUCGGGACCGUGAGUCCGUUUGCUUUAUUGCGAAUGGAUUUAUGGGAACCUUUUCUAACCUCGCCAUUUAGAGGAAGGUGAAGUCGUAACAAGGUU
rnacentral:rRNA from 1 species